ensembl:lncRNA
GUUUGGAUGAGAAUAAAAAUAAUUUUCCAGUAAAAACAAAUAAAUAAUAAUAAUAUCAAAAUAAAGUUGACUGGAGGGGAAUACAAAAGCUCUUCCUGUUAAAACAAAGAAAAAUGUAAAAAUACAGUGUUUUGGACUAAUGAUGGAAUUGGCAAUUAUGCAAAUCUUACAGCAUUAUAUAAACUCCUGUGACAGUUCAGAGAAGUUCAAUGAAAUGUUCUGCUGUAGUCCAUUACAAUUCAUCCUGUUCUGUUAUUCAGGUAUACCCAUAAUCUCUACAAUCACCCUCUGGGUGGCGCUGCGACAUCAUUUGAUUCCUACUUCCAAGCAUUUAGAAGUGUAUUAUUUUUACACUUAUAAAUAUUGCAUUUAUGGAAGAAACCGUAAGUCAACAGGCUUUGUGCAGAAUUUGUAUGAAUGGUUGAAAUCUCAAGACAAGAAUUUACAAUGUUCUUUGUAACCGACCAAGAUAAUGUUUUCCAAAAUAGCUCAAUAUGGUGGAAAUAUAUGGUGAGAUUUGAAUGGAGAAAGUGGAUCUGAGAACAGCACUGCCUUUCUUUCAAUUAUAUUAGUAUAGACACACAGUCUGAUGACGUACUUAGGGAACAUUCUGUCUGUUUGGGGUUUUGGGUAACACACGUAACAUCUUUGGACAUGUCUGGAGAGAGGCAUCAUUAAAAACACUGGCUUGCAGGAGUUAAAUGGGACACCGGGACCAGGUCAAGGAUCCUGCAUAAUCUUUUUUGGUGUAGUUUUGUAUAACUCAGUAAAUAGGUUUAAGUACCAAUUCAUAAACCAGAGAUGAUGGUGAACGUGGACAGUAAUGGAUCGUCAGAUACAGGAUAUGUAAUAGGUGUACUUUUACAUUUAAAGUUCACCCUCUGUAAACAAAACAUGGCUCUGUUUAACCAGACAUGGGUUAAUAUACAUACGGAUUAGAGUACUUGCUAUUUAAAAUGCCCUUUUUUAGUUGGGCCCACUGAGAACUAAAAUGGUUAAAAGCAAAAUGUCAACCAUAUUUUAGAGGAUUUUUAAACUCCUAUUUCAAAUAUUAUUUUCAAAAACCUGUGUUGAAUUUGGAAUAUUUUAAAUAAAC